rnacentral:rRNA from 1 species
UACGUAGGGUGCGAGCGUUGCCCGGAUUUAUUGGGCGUAAAGGGCGCGUAGGCGGCUCGGCACGUCCGUUGUGAAAUCGCCCGGCUCAACUGGGCGGGGUCGGCGGAUACGGCCGAGCUGGAGGAAGCUAGGGGGUAAUGGAAUUCCCGGUGUAGUGGUGGAAUGCGUAGAUAUCGGGAGGAACACCAGUGGCGAAGGCGGUUUCCUGGGGGUUUGCUGACGGUGAUGCCCGAAAGCGUGGGGAGCGAUCCGG